CAUCAGUGACUAAAACAGAAAUCCUUGUAAACUUAAUAAACGAGUUAAAAAUGUGUGUUAGUGAUUUAUGCUAAAAAGAAGAAUGCAGAAGAGGAGGAAAAUAGGAAGUGGAAAGACAGCAAUUUUAUGUGGUCAGAAGAGUCCCAACAGCAAAGGAGACACGAGAGUAAAGACCUGAAGUAUGAUGUGCAUGUAAGAGAAGAGCAUUCAGGCAGAGGAAAGAGCAAGUAUGAAGACUCUAGGUGGGAGUGGACCUCAUGUGGGAUGUCAUCGGCUGGGAUCAGAGUGACCAAGAGGGAAAGGAGUAGCAGAUGAUGUCAUAGAGGUGAGAGGUGAGGAGUCAUAAGGGAGCAUGAGGAAGAACAGGCAGAUGGAGCGACAAUGCAGCAGUGAGAGCAUGCAGAUUUUGGAAAUACUCUGAAGAUAGAAAUUAUUGAAUUUAUUGAAAGAUUGACCACCAGGAGAAAAAGAGGAGCAAGCAGAACUCAAAGGUCUAUGACUUGAAUGAUUGGAAAGAAGGAGCUUCCAUUAGUUGAAAUGGAAAAAGCUAGAAAAGAAACAGGAAACAGUGUCAGGCAUUCUGCUUUGAACAUGUACAGUUAAGAUUA